GUGAGCUUAGCUCAGUUGGUAAGGACAUUGCAUAAUAUAUGCAGGGGUCGGGGUUCGAACCCCGAACACCCCACU
rnacentral:tRNA from 1 species